UUCUUGAGACACCAACGUGGUGGGAAUAUCGCUGGGUUUCGUGGUGCACGUAUGCAAAGGGGAUAUGGGAUCGGAAGUAUUUUCAAGAGCCUUGCGAGAUAUGCUAUUCCUCUGUUCAAAUAAGGUGCUAAAGUUGUUGGAAAAAGAGCAUUGCAAGCAGCCACAGAAGUUGGUCAAGACGUAAUCCAAGGAAAAAAUGUAAAAGAAGC